rnacentral:misc_RNA from 1 species
UCGAGAUCGUGCCCUCACGGGUAGACCUCCCACCCUUGACUACUACACCAUUGUUGCUUUGGCGGGCCGCCUAGGCCACCGGCUACCGCUGGUGAGCGCCCGCCAGAGGACCCAAAACUCUGAAUUAUUGUGUCGUCUGAGUACUAUAUAAUAGUUA